CAGACGUGCUGCCCGCUGUCCACAGCCCAACAAGCUUCCCUCCCUGUUGGUGACACUGGAUGACAGGAUCUUUGGACUUGGGGACAGCAGGAACAAGACGGGGUCCACUCUCGCCAGCACACACGCUCUUCUUGCCCAAAGAUUUGUUGGGAGCCAGCAUGAGAUGCUGAUACAACCACAGAAGCUGAAUGUUUGCAAGAAGUGAAACACCCUUACCGAGAAAGGAGCAGAAUUUGCAGAAAUCUGGACAUCGCAGAGCUGAGAUGGCUUGGGGAACCCUGCCAGCACCCCACUGCCUCGUUGCCAGUCUGAACCCCCGGGAAUGAGCGUAGCCCUGGGAGGCAUCGGGGACAAAACGGUGUGAUGGAAAUAAUCACGUUCGGACAAUGCUGAUGGGAUUGAAAUUGGUCCCUCCUCCACCCCCCCCCCCCCCCGUACUGGAGACCAAACCCAGGGGCGCUCUACAACUGACCUAAGUUGAGGCUGGCCUCAGAUUUGCAGUCCUCCUGCCUCAGCCUCUGGAGCAACCGGGCUGAUACAAAUUCUACAGAAGAGCUGCUCCUCUGCUCUGCUUUCCGGCCACCACGUACUAAGCACUUUUGCUAUCCACCACAUGCUUCUGCCAUGAUGUUCCUGCCUUGGAGCCAGCGGACCAUGGACUGGAGCUCCUGAAGUCCGGUGGCAUCCUCACUUCGGCCUCUGUCAUCACCCGUGGUUUCCUAAGUGGCCUCUGCUGUCUUGAGUCCUUCCUGGAGACGACGCACAGAGGAUACUGAUGUUACAGCCACGUGCUUGGGGGUUGAGAAUUGAAAAUGAAGAUCUUCACGCUGUGUUGUAAUUUUGUCCUUGGACACCUGUUUAAUGUCCCCACUUCAGAGAAGGAAGAGCCGCUUCCAAAAUGUAAUGUACGUAAAACAUCCGUCCGGCUGGGGCAGUAGCUCCGGGGAAGCGCACUUGCCUAGCAUCAGAGCCUGUUCCAUCCACAACAUUGCCCAAAAAAGGAAUACUACUACUAAUAAUAAUAAUAAAUAAAGUUUUACAAAGACA